UGGUACAUCUGCUCGUCAAACGCGGCGUGGUAGUCGAAGACAGUGCCGGUUUGGCGAAGCUGCAACUUGUGCAUCACCAGCUCGUACUCGUUGGCGCCGAAUUCUUCCAGCAGGGAGGCCGUGAACUUACCCCACGUGAUGCCGCGAUGUGUCUGACGAAAUGCCUGGAGCCAGUGCGCGGCCUGGCCGUCGAUGUACAGAGCCGCGGUGGCCACCCAAUUAUGUGGCGAUCAAUCCACAAUUACGGGGCCAGGCGGUGACCAAUCGCCGCCCCGUAAUGCCUAGAGCUCAAAAUAGGCCAGGCGGCGAUCAAUCCACAAUUACAAGGCGGUGCCUUCGAACCUUGGGAAAUCAUGCUUGGGUGGCUUGUGGUGCUCCCUAUUGGUGUAGAACACUG
rnacentral:lncRNA from 1 species